rnacentral:rRNA from 1 species
UGGCGAACGGGUGCGUAACACGUGAGUGACCUGCCCUUGUGUGGGGGAUAACUGGGGGAAACCCCAGCUAAUACCGCACGACUUCAGUGGAUCGCAUGGUCUACUGAGCAAAGGUCCUUCGGGACUGCGCAGGGAGGGGCUCGCGGCGUAUCAGCUAGUUGGUGAGGUAACGGCUCACCAAGGCGAUGACGCGUAGGGGGUCUGAGAGGAUGGCCCCCCACAUUGGGACUGAGACACGGCCCAGACUCCUACGGGAGGCAGCAGUGGGGAAUCUUGCGCAAUGGCCGAAAGGCGGACGCAGCGACGCCGCGUGCGGGAGGAGGCUCUUCGGGGUGUAAACCGCUGUCAGGAGGGACGAAGGUCCAGGGGAGGUAAUGCCCUUGGGAUGACGGUACCUCCAGAGGAAGCGCCGGCUAACUCCGUGCCAGCAGCCGCGGUAAUACGGAGGGCGCGAGCGUUGUUCGGAAUUAUUGGGCGUAAAGCGCACGUAGGCGGCUCGAUAAGUCUCACUGUGAAAGCCCGGGGCUCAACCCCGGGAGGCCAGGGGAUACUGUCGGGCUGGAGACAAGCAGAGGUUGGUAGAAUUCCGGGUGUAGCGGUGGAAUGCGUAGAGAUCCGGAGGAAUACCAGAGGCGAAGGCGGCCAACUGGGCUUGGUCUGACGCUGAGGUGCGAAAGCGUG